rnacentral:rRNA from 1 species
UACGAAGGGGGCUAGCGUUGCUCGGAAUGACUGGGCGUAAAGGGCGCGUAGGCGGAUGGCAUAGUCAGAUGUGAAAUUCCCGGGCUUAACCCGGGGACUGCAUUUGAUACGUGUCGUCUUGAGCUCGGAAGAGGGUCGUGGAAUUCCCAGUGUAGAGGUGAAAUUCGUAGAUAUUGGGAAGAACACCGGUGGCGAAGGCGGCGACCUGGUCCGAUACUGACGCUGAGGCGCGAAAGCGUGGGGAGCAAACAGG